UCAUCUUCGGGGGUAGAGCACUGUUUCGACUAGGGGGUCAUCCCGACUUACCAACUCGAUGCAAACUGCGAAUACCGAAGAAUGUUAUCACGGGAGACACACGGCGGGUGCUAACGUCCGUCGUGAAGAGGGAAACAACCCAGACCGCCAGCUAAGGUCCCAAAGUCAUGGUUAAGUGGGAAACGAAGUGGGAAGGCUCAGACAGCCAGGAUGUUGGCUUAGAAGCAGCCAUCAUUUAAAGAAAGCGUAAUAGCUCACUGGUCGAGUCGGCCCGCGCGGAAGAUGUAACGGGGCUAAACCAUGCACCGAAGCUGCGGCAGCGACACAAAGUGUUGUUGGGUAGGGGAGCGUUCUGUAAGCCUGCGAAGGUGUACUGUGAGGUAUGCUGGAGGUAUCAGAAGUGCGAAUGCUGACAUAAGUAACGAUAAUGCGGGUGAAAAACCCGCACGCCGGAAGACCAAGGGUUCCUGUCCAACGUUAAUCGGGGCAGGGUGAGUCGACCCCUAAGGCGAGGCUGAAAAGCGUAGUCGAUGGGAAACGGGUUAAUAUUCCCGUACUGGUGGUAACUGCGAUGGGGGAACGGAGAAGGCUAGGUUGUCCGGGCGACGGUCGUCCCGGUUCAAGCAGGUAGGCAGAGUGAUUAGGCAAAUCCGGUCACUUAAUGCUGAGAUGUGAUGACGAACCACCAAGGUGGUGAAGCAAUUGAUGCCCCGCUUCCAGGAAAAGCCUCUAAGCUUCAGGUUACCAACAAUCGUACCCCAAACCGACACAGGUGGUCAGGUAGAGAAUACUCAGGCGCUUGAGAGAACUCGGGUGAAGGAACUAGGCAAAAUGGUGCCGUAACUUCGGGAGAAGGCACGCUGGCGGUAGGUAAAGUCCCUUGCGGACGGCGC
rnacentral:rRNA from 1 species